AGCGGCGGACGGGUGAGUAACACGUGGGUAAUCUGCCCUCAAGUGGGGAAUAACACAGAGAAAUCUGUGCUAAUACCGCAUAAUGUAUGCUGGUCGCAUGGCCGGUAUAAAAAAGAUUUAUUGCUUGAGGAUGAGCCCGCGGCCCAUUAGCUAGUUGGUGAGGUAAUGGCCCACCAAGGCAACGAUGGGUAGCCGACCUGAGAGGGUGAUCGGCCACAUUGGAACUGAGACACGGUCCAGACUCCUACGGGAGGCAGCAGUGGGGAAUAUUGCACAAUGGGGGAAACCCUGAUGCAGCAACGCCGCGUGAGCGACGAAGGCCUUCGGGUUGUAAAGCUCUGUCUUCACUGACGAAUAAAUGACGGUAAGUGAGGAGGAAGCCACGGCUAACUACGUGCCAGCAGCCGCGGUAAUACGUAGGUGGCAAGCGUUGUCCGGAAUUAUUGGGCGUAAAGGGUGCGUAGGCGGUCUUUUAAGUGGGAUGUGAAAUACCUAGGCUUAACUUAGGAAUGGCAUUCCAAACUGGAAGACUAGAGUGCAGGAGAGGAAAGUGGAAUUCCCAGUGUAGCGGUGAAAUGCGUAGAGAUUGGGAGGAACACCAGUGGCGAAGGCGACUUUCUGGACUGUAACUGACGCUGAGGCACGAAAGCGUGGGGAGCAAACAGGAUUAGAUACCCUGGUAGUCCACGCU
rnacentral:rRNA from 1 species